UCCCCAGUGGCUCAGAUGGUAAAGAAUCUGCCUGCAAUGCAGGAGACCUGGGUUCGAUUCCUGGGUUGGGAA
rnacentral:tRNA from 1 species